rnacentral:tRNA from 1 species
GUUUGUGGCUCAGUGGUAGAGCGCUUGCCUAGCACGUGUGAGGCACUGGGUUCAAUCCUCAGCACCACA